GUGCUUGCUUCGGCAGCAUAUAUACUAAAAUUGGAAUGAUUCAAAGAUUACUAUAGCCCCCACACAAGGAUGACAUGCAAAUUCAUAAAGUAUUCCAUAUUUAA
ensembl:snRNA U6 U6 spliceosomal RNA